AUGGAGGGUCUAUUUCAUGUUUACGCCAAACGGUUCAACCUUGGAAGGUCUGUUUUAAUCCUGAACCAUUACACAGCUGGUGUGAUACUUUUUGGAACACCAGACAAAGUCAGACAGCACAGCUUGCGAAGGACAGAUUUCAGCAACUAUGAGGCCGUACUGUCUUUUGUAAAUGUUGGAGGAGUUCACUGGAAGUUACUGUUUGUACUUCCUGCCAUGAAGGCUGUGUUCUUGCUGGACCCGAUGGCUAAUAAUUCUGAGCAAGCUGAGUCUGCAGAUGCUGCAAAAAGAAUACGGGAUUACAUGCGGUUCAGAAUGAUCACCCUUGGCAAAAAUGACUGGGGGAGACUCAGAUGGAGAGGAUUAACGAUGGACCAUCCAGUACAACAAGACAAGUGUAGCUGUGGGGUCAUCGUUACGAAGAUGGCAAAGGCAGUAAUGGAGGCAUUUCCGGCGUUACCUGCCAUGUCCUUUGGCACCUCCAUGAAGGAGAUGGCGUCGGAAAGGACAAAUUUUGCCCAGGCAUUACUCAGUGACUCAGUGUUGGACCUGGAUCAUCACUGUGUGAUGUGCUGUGCUUCAAAGCCCCCUGUAUCAGGACCUCCAGUGACUCGUUGGAUACAGUGUGAUACCUGCGAAAGGUGGUAUCACGAGGAAUGCCUGGAUUUGGAGGAAGAGAUACUCAAAAAAGCAAGGGCAGGCAACUGGAACUGCGACCUUUGCAAAUAAAAAAAAAAAAGUGAUAAGACAUGUUCCUUUUUUCAUCAAAAUUCACAUUUUGUUGUUUUUCCAUUUUUGGUUCUCCAAAUGUGCUCUGAGUUGUUCAUUGCUUGUUUACAAAGAAAACAAGGCCCAGAGGCCUGGC
rnacentral:lncRNA from 1 species